GAUGAACGCUGGCUACAGGCUUAACACAUGCAAGUCGAGGGGAAACGCCGGGGUAGCUUGCUUCCCCGGGCGUCGACCGGCGUACGGGUGAGUAACGCGUAUCCCACCUGCCUCUGACUGAGCGAUAACCCGCCGAAAGUCGGCCUAAUACCUCAUGCUUUCGUCUGCGGGCAUCCAACGACGAUUAAAGAUUUCAUCGGUCAGGGACGGGGUUGCGUCUGAUUAGCUUGUUGGUGGGUUAACGGCCCACCAAGGCUACGAUCAGUAGGGGUUCUGAGGGGAGGCGCCCCGACAGGGGAACUGGGCCACGGGCGAAAGACCUACGGGAGGCAGCAGUGAGGAAUAUAGGUGAAGGGACGAGUGCCUGAACCGGCCAAGUAUGAUGCAGGAAGGCGGCGCUAGGGGUUGUGAACUGCGUGUAGGCGGGGAUAAAGGGAGGGACGGGUCCCUGAGUGCAGGUACCGGAUGAAUAAGGACCGGCUAAUUCCGUG
rnacentral:rRNA from 1 species